CUGACAUGCCAUAAAAUUUCAUGUCAUGAAGAGAUUUCCUGUAUUGAGUGAACUCAAGCAUCUCUCUAUGGUGCUUGAUUUGUUGGUGCAUCAAAUAUUACUUAUGUCUUCCUAAAAGACUUUAUAAUUUAGUGGAGAGAUCCGCUAAGGUUAAUUUGCAAGGCAUGACUAUGGAUUAUGGGGCUACCUCAAACAGUACAGUGUAUUCCAACCUCCGGCAUUUGAUGGGUUCAAGGGGUAAUGAUGCCUUAGCAGAUGUGACUGAUACAGAGCAAACUUUGAAUUAGUUGAAGUCCAGGUAUGAUUAAAUACAUACCUGAUUAUUGAUUCAAAACAGGUAUGAUUAAAUACAUCUAAGGUAUCUAUCUAUUUUUAUUUUUUUGGCUUUUUGAUUAAUUAUAUUUUGGUUUUGAGAUACCUAAUUUUGUUUCAUUCAAGUAGAUUUUAAAUUGUGGGUGUCAUUAGCUGUCAAUAUUUAGUAUAAGAUCUUCGUAAGGAGUCACAUUAUUUUUCUGAAAGCUUUGGAUUCUGCUACUUUUGCUGAAGAAAAGGUACUAUAGUGAGAUAAAAGCAAGUUGUGCCAAGGAUGAGGAUAUUGGAACUGCAAUUUUAAUGGUUGUGAAGAAAUAAAUUGGAGUUGGGGCUCAAACUGCAUGAACAUUGAAGGCUAUUUGAGUUAACAGAAAAGUGUACGUUGUUGUUUUUGAAAGAGGUUGGUAUGGGAGAGGAUGCAAUACUAACAGUAAGACCCAAUAUAUCAGAGAGAAAGAUGGACAAAAUCAUCUGCAUCACUGCAAUAAGGAUGCGUCCCCAUAGAUUCAGAUUUCUUCGGCAGUGCCUUACACAGGUUCUUAGUGCCUUGGUUGGAUUUCACUAAGGAAUUUUUCUGCCUUGAUCUAUUGGCCUUCCGUCAGUUGAUGCAAGUUGAAAGCUUACCCAACCAAAAGUGAUAAUCUAUUUUAUUGGAUAUUUGUUUUUGUUGACUGAGGGAGAAACGGCUGUAAUUCAGUUACUGACUGUGGGAGAAGAACUUUUUCAUUGCUCAUGCUCAAAUUCUCCCUGCUGCAGGGGAGAAAAUUGCUGCUCCUAACUGAACUUGAUUAGCAUUUGUACACCUAAGGUUUGUUGCAUUAGAAAACAUCUUUAGUUGUAUUAGUGCUAACCCAAUUCAAGAUAGGAAAACUAAUAUUAGAAUUCAAGGUUGCCUUGCUGCUCAGCUAGCUUCACCUUCAAGUAAAGGUAAAUUAGUCAUGCUUUUUAUUUUUUUUUAUGUAGCAGUUCAUCUCAGUGUCCAUGUAUACCCAAAACAAACUAAUUUU